UACGGAGGGGGCUAGCGUUGUUCGGAAUUACUGGGCGUAAAGCGCACGUAGGCGGACUGUUAAGUCGGGGGUGAAAUCCUGGGGCUCAACCUCAGAAUUGCCUCCGAUACUGGCAGUCUCGAGUGCGGGAGAGGUGAGUGGAAUUCCCAGUGUAGAGGUGAAAUUCGUAGAUAUUGGGGAAGAACACCAGUGGGCGAAAGGCGGCUCACUGGCCCGUAACUGACGCUGAGGUGCGAAAGCGUGGGGAGCAAACAGG
rnacentral:rRNA from 1 species